rnacentral:rRNA from 1 species
CGGAUCAGCACGCCGCGGUGAAUACGUUCCCGGGCCUUGUACACACCGCCCGUCACACCAUGGAAGUCUGCAAUGCCCGAAGCCGGUGGCCUAACCACUUAUGUGGAAGGAGCCGUCUAAGGCAGGGCAGAUGACUGGGGUGAAGUCGUAACAAGGUAUC